rnacentral:rRNA from 1 species
UACGGGGGGGGGCAAGCGUUGUUCGGAAUUACUGGGCGUAAAGGCUCGUAGGUGGCCAACUAAGUCAGGGGUGAAAUCCCAGGGCUCAACCCUGGAACUGCCUUUGAUACUGACGGUCUGGAGAUCGGGAGAGGUUGGUGGAAUUCCGAGUGUAGAGGUGAAAUUCGUAGAUAUCUGGAGGAACACCGGUGGCGAAGGCGCCCACCUGGCCUGCUACUGACGCUGAAGCUCGAAAGCUAGGGGAGCAAACGGG